GACGAACGCUGGCGGCGUGCUUAACUCAUGCAAGUCGAACGGAAAGGCCCUGCUUUUGUGGGGUGCUCGAGUGGCGAACGGGUGAGUAACACGUGAGUAACCUGCCCUUGACUUUGGGAUAACUUCAGGAAACUGGGGCUAAUACCGGAUAGGAGCUCCUGCUGCAUGGUGGGGGUUGGAAAGUUUCGGCGGUUGGGGAUGGACUCGCGGCUUAUCAGCUUGUUGGUGGGGUAGUGGCUUACCAAGGCUUUAACGGGUAGCCGGCCUGAGAGGGUGACCGGCCACAUUGGGACUGAGAUACGGCCCAGACUCCUACGGGAGGCAGCAGUGGGGAAUAUUGCACAAUGGGCGGAAGCCUGAUGCAGCAACGCCGCGUGCGGGAUGACGGCCUUCGGGUUGUAAACCGCUUUCGCCUGUGACGAAGCGUGAGUGACGGUAAUGGGUAAAGAAGCACCGGCUAACUACGUG
rnacentral:rRNA from 1 species